GACAGAGGUGCCGAGCGUUAGGCGGAAUCACUGGGCUUAAAGCGUGUGUAGGCGGGGCGUUAAGUGUCUUGUGAAAUCCCACCGCUCAACGGUGGAACCGCUGGGCAUACUGGCGAUCUUGAGCAGUCCAGGGGCGAGCGGAACAAGCGGUGGAGCGGUGAAAUGCGUAGAUAUCAUUUGGAACGCCAAUGGUGAAAACAGGUAGCUGGGAGUGUGCUGACACUGAGACACGAAAGCCAGGGGAGCGAACGGG
rnacentral:rRNA from 1 species